AUCCGCCCGUCUCGGCCUUCCAAAGUGCUGGGAUUACAGGCUUGAGCCACCGCGCCCGGCCCCGAAAAAGUAUUUUUUGAUCUUAAAAUCUUAGGUGGAACGAAAGUGAACAAUGAGACAAUGAAAGUGGAAGUUUCUCUCAAGCAAAUACAGAAGUCAACAAUUCCAGCUUUCUAAGGAAUCAAACUUGACUUAUGGAGCCCUUGAAAAAAUUGACCUCAUAUUUUGUGUACACAGUCCCUGUACACGGUUUCUGAUCUGUGGACAUGAGACUUCACAACCUGCUAAAAAUGAGCCUUCAGGACCUACCUGUCUAGGAAUAAACCAUUCUAGCCAUGAAAGAUCAGGUGAAACUUGAGACCAGAGACUUAUUUUCUAGUUAAAUGCUUAAUGUGAAAGGAAAACAAAUCUUGAGGCCCCCAAAUCACAAGCUUAGAGCAAACCUGCCUCCCAUUCUAUUCAAAGGCACCCCUCUGCUCACUGAGAUGCAUAUCUGAUUGCCUCCUUUGGAAACACUAAGCAGAAACUCAAAAUAAUGCAGCCCUUCCUGUCUCACCUAUCUUUUUACAU